rnacentral:rRNA from 1 species
UGGGGAAUCUUGGACAAUGGGCGCAAGCCUGAUCCAGCCAUGCCGCGUGGGUGAUGAAGGCCCUAGGGUUGUAAAGCCCUUUCGGCGGGGAAGAUAAUGACGGUACCCGCAGAAGAAGCCCCGGCUAACUUCGUGCCAGCAGCCGCGGUAAUACGAAGGGGGCUAGCGUUGCUCGGAAUCACUGGGCGUAAAGCGCACGUAGGCGGAUUCUUAAGUCAGGGGUGAAAUCCCGGAGCUCAACUCCGGAACUGCCUUUGAUACUGAGAGCCUUGAGUUCGGGAGAGGUGAGUGGAACUGCGAGUGUAGAGGUGAAAUUCGUAGAUAUUCGCAAGAACACCAGUGGCGAAGGCGGCUCACUGGCCCGAUACUGACGCUGAGGUGCGAAAGCGUGGGGAGCAAACAGGAUUAGAUACCCCCGUAGUCC